rnacentral:rRNA from 1 species
UACGUAGGGGGCAAGCGUUGUCCGGAUUUAUUGGGCGUAAAGAGCGUGUAGGCGGCCAGGUAGGUCAGCUGUGAAAACUCGAGGCUCAACCUCGAGACGUCGGUUGAAACCACCUGGCUAGAGUCCGGAAGAGGAGAGUGGAAUUCCUGGUGUAGCGGUGAAAUGCGCAGAUAUCGGGAGGAACACCGGUGGCGAAGGCGGUUCUCUGGGCCUGUUCUGACGCUGAGGAGCGAAAGCGUGGGGAGCGAACAGG